rnacentral:lncRNA from 1 species
AGAACAUCUUAUAUAAAAAAUGGUGUUUUCAGAUUAUAUGUUAAAGAAAAUAGCGUAAAAAAAGGAGAUGAAAUGUUUCAUAUGAUGAAUGAAAACGAUUGGAAUAUUUUAUAUAAACAGAUACAAGUGCAUACAAGUUUACCUACUGGUGACUAUUAUGUGUUUAUACAAGCUUUUCAAUGUACUAACAAUCAGUUUAACACAGACGACGACGAAGUUAUAAAUACAAAUAGUGUAUCUAGCUCAAUUAAACAAAAAAAAAUAAAAUUAAUAGACGCACAUAAUAUAGAACAACAAAAUGAAAAAAAAACAAUAGUUCAUAAUAUGGAUACUGCAGCACCAGGAUUUACAAAUCACAAUACUGGGAUUACAUUACAUAAAGAAAUUGUAAAUCCAGUGAUGGAAAAUGGUACUACAAUACAAGAUACUGAUUUAGAAAGCGACAAUGAAAAUGACUUGUCAGUUGAAUCUUUUAUAGUGAAAGAUAAGUUAGCUAAUAACAAGCUGGAAUCAACUGAUAUGGUGAAAUUGAAAGAACCAAUACAAAAAUAUUUUACCAAUCUUAUGCAUUCGAAAGUGCACAUCCGAGAAAUAAACUCUAGAUUUGUAGAACUAGAUAGGGAAACAUACGAUGUGGAAUACUUGUAUAUGACUAGUUUGUUGGAUAGUGGAAAAUAUACUAUACAAAUAAGAGGAGACGAAUACAAAGGACAGUGUGGUAGUGGUAAAUGUAUUUUAGAAGAGUGGUUUUUAAAAGACUUGAUAAACAACGAAAAUAUAAAUGAUGGUGACUACGAAAUGAGUAUAGUAAAAAGUGUAUAUAUAUUUGAUAAUAAAGAACAAAAAAAUAAAUCAUCGCUAGGUACUGCACAUGACAUAGACGAUACAUACGAUAUCAGUAUGUAUUGUGGUGUACAACUACAAAAAGAUGAAAAAUUAAAUGUAUACAAGCUAAUUGAAUUUCCUAUUAGUGCUUGCAACAUAACGGAAGGAUUAUACAAAGUAAGUAUUAUAAGUAAUGAAUUUAGUGUACAGAGAGAGGGUAAGAAAUAUGAAGAUUGUAAUAAUAUUCUCAAAGGAUGUAUUUACAAUGCAUAUGAAAUUAACUCAUCAGGUAUAUAUGCAUACAAUAUAAGCGUUAUGAAAAGAAAAAAUAUAACUCAAAGAGGAUAUUUUAUUACAGAGAAACAUGAUAAUAAAAUUUUACAUGAUUAUUAUGCAGAUAUAUAUAAGAUAGUAUCAUAUAACACAAUGAAAUUUUAUGAAGGUGUAGAACAAGUACAUUUUGUAGGUCAACAUGACAUGGAAUAUACAAAAUAUUUAAUAAUUAUAAUGAAUGGGGAAUAUAAAGUAAAGGUAUUGAACAAUAAUAAUAAAAUAGAACAAAAAGAUAAUAAUACUGCUGUUAGUUUUUUCAAAAAUAUGUUUCAAUUGUUGCAAAAAAAACAUAUUAAUGGCAUCUAUAUAGUAGAUUUGAAUGAGCAUAAAACGUCUUUUAACAGUAAUGUAUUAACAACAUUAAAAAAA